rnacentral:rRNA from 1 species
AUCAACGCUGGCGGCGUGCCUAACACAUGCAAGUCGAACGAGAAAAGUGGAAGCAAUCCAUGAGUACAGUGGCGAACGGGUGAGUAACACGUGACUAACCUGCCUUCGAGUGGGGGAUAACCUCGGGAAACCGGGGCUAAUACCGCAUAAGAUCCUAAGGGUGCAAUUCCCAUGGGACCAAAGGGGUAAGACGCUUGAAGAGGGUGGGGGUCGCGGCUGAUUAGCUAGUUGGUGAGGUUAACGGCUCACCAAGGCGAAGAUCGGUAGCCGGCCCUGAGAGGGCGCACGGCCACACUGGAACUGAAACACGGUCCAGACUCCUACGGGAGGCAGCAGUGGGGAAUUUUGCGCAAUGGGGGAAACCCUGACGCAAGCAACGCCGCGUGGAGGAUGAAGCCCUUUGGGGGCGUAAACUCCUUUCGAUCGGGACGAUUAUGACGGUACCGGAUGAAGAAGCACCGGCUAACUCUGUUGCCAGCAGCCGCGGGUAAUACAGAGGGUGCAAGCGUUGUUCGGAAAUUAUUGGGCGUAAAGGGCGCGUAGGGCGGUGCGGUAAGUCACCUGUGAAACCUCUGGGCUUAACUCAGAGCCUGCAGGCCGAAACUGCCGUGCUUGAGUGUGGGAGAGGUGCGUGGAAUUCCCGGUGUAGCGGUGAAAUGCGUAGAUAUCGGGAGGAACACCUGUGGCGAAAGCGGCGCACUGGACCACAACUGACGCUGAGGCGCGAAAGCUAGGGGAGCAAACAGGAUUAGAUACCCUGGUAGUCCACGCCGUAAACGAUGGAUGCUAGCCGUUGUGCUAGCGUACCAAUUCAGGUGUGCGCAGCCUAACGCGAUUAAGCAAUCCGCCUGGGGGAGUACGGUCGCAAGGAUUGAAAACUCAAAGGAAUUGACGGGGGCCCGCACAAGCGGUGGAGCAUGUGGUUCAAUUCGAAGCAACGCGAAGAACCUUACCAGCUUUUGACAUGUCCCGUAUGGGUUUCAGAAAUGAGAUCCUUCAGUUCGGCUGGCGGGAACACAGGUGCUGCAUGGCUGUCGUCAGCUCGUGUCGUGAGAUGUUGGGUUAAGUCCCGCAACGAGCGCAACCCUUGCUCUUAGUUUGCUCAUUCGCAAGAAUAGGCACUCUAAGAGGGACUGCUGGUGAUAAACCGGAGGAAGGUGGGAUGACGUCAAGUCAUCAUGGCCUUUAUGUCCCGGGCUACACACGUGCUACAAUGGCCGGUACAAAGGGUCGCGAAUCCGCAAGGUGGAGCCAAUCCCAUGAAAGCCGGCCUCAGUUCGGAUUGCACUCUGCCAACUCGAGUGCAUGAAGUUGGAAUCGCUAGUAAUCGCGGAUCAGCAUGCCGCGGUGAAUACGUUUCCGGGCCUGUACACACACGCCCGUCACACCACGAAAGUGGAUUGUACCCGAAAGUCGCUGAGCCGACCCGCAAGGGAGGCAGGUGCCCAAGGUAUGAUUCAUGAUUGGGGUG